rnacentral:lncRNA from 1 species
AUGCAUCUAGUUGAAGAAUAUCAUAUAAAAGGCACGAUUACGUGGAAGCAUAUCACAAUGCAAAUUUUGCAAGUGGAAAUUACACCCAUCCAUAUGUUUUAAGAUCCAACUUCAAAAAUCAGAACCAAUGUUUAUUUAUUCAAAAAUCAGAUUAUAAUUAAAAGUUUUAAUAUUAAUAAUAAUAUUAUAAUUCAACUUAAUUUACAUACCACACCCUCCACCAUUAACCCAUCCGGCUCAAUUUUCAAUCUAAAAACCCUAAUCACUUUCUUCUUCCUCCUUUCUCUCUACCUCUUCCUUCUCUCUCUUAGUAUCACUUCGACGACUUAUUUCCAUUGGUGGUGCGCAACUCUUCAAUCGCCGGAGCUCGAAUUCGUCAUCGUUGUGCGCAGCAACGAGCUCAAAGCAUCGCUCAUAGUGACGUACACUCUGGUUGCCGAUGCUUCAGAUCUCUGGGUGGCGCUGCAGAUCCAUUCUUGGUAAUUGACGGUUCGGUGCUGGGAAUGGAGAUCUCUGGCGUGUGCGACGGUGAUGAGCUUCUAUGGUGUUGUGGAGGUGGAGGUGGAGGUGUGCAGUGAGAUGGUGGGAACGGAGAGCUCUAGUGGUGCGAUGGUGGUGUAGUACUAUGGGUACAUUGUGGUGGUACAGUGGUUGGGUGCGUGUGGUACUGUGUGCAGUGGUGGCUCUGGAGAUGUGCAGUGGUGUUGACUGAUUCCGAUAUCGUGGUGUUUUGUGCGGUACCUUGGUGACGCGGUGAUUGCAAGUAUUGGUGGUGACCAUAAAUAGCCAAUGAAAAAGAUAAAUUGCGACUAAUAAAUAAUGUGAUUUAAAAAUUGUUAAUUUGUGAUCGAAAAUUUGAUAAUUUGUGACUAUAUAAUAAGUUGUGACUUAUAAUAUUGGUGAUCGAUAAGUAAAUUGUGAGUUAUAAAUUUUUUAUUUGUGAUCGAUAA